rnacentral:rRNA from 1 species
AAUUCGCCCUUAGAGUUUGAUCAUGGCUCAGAUUGAACGCUGGCGGCAUGCCUUACACAUGCAAGUCGAACGGCAGCAUAGGAGCUUGCUCCUGAUGGCGAGUGGCGAACGGGUGAGUAAUAUAUCGGAACGUGCCCUAGAGUGGGGGAUAACUAGUCGAAAGACUAGCUAAUACCGCAUACGAUCUACGGAUGAAAGUGGGGGAUCGCAAGACCUCAUGCUCCUGGAGCGGCCGAUAUCUGAUUAGCUAGUUGGUGGGGUAAAAGCCUACCAAGGCAACGAUCAGUAGCUGGUCUGAGAGGACGACCAGCCACACUGGGACUGAGACACGGCCCAGACUCCUACGGGAGGCAGCAGUGGGGAAUUUUGGACAAUGGGGGCAACCCUGAUCCAGCAAUGCCGCGUGAGUGAAGAAGGCCUUCGGGUUGUAAAGCUCUUUUGUCAGGGAAGAAACGGUAGUAGCGAAUAACUAUUACUAAUGACGGUAC